AUCUACGGCCAUGCUACCAGCCUGAACAAGCCCGAUCCCGUUUGAUCUCGGAAGCUAAGCAGGGUCGGGCCCGAUACUUGAAUGGGAAACCACCUAGGAAGACCAGGUUCUGUAGGCG
rnacentral:rRNA from 1 species